rnacentral:tRNA from 14 species
CUUAGCUCAGUUGGAUAGAGCAACGGCCUUCUAAGCCGUAGGUCACAGGUUCGAAUCCUGUAG